rnacentral:misc_RNA from 1 species
UAUUAUUAUUAUUAUUAUUAUCUCCUGUUGUUCCCUCAGCUCUCAUUUCUUAAAUUCCUGUGCUUUCUACAGGUAUAUUGAAAUUUAGUCCUGAGAUAUAUCGUUGACCCUCUGCUCAUAUAAUCACUGAGAGCCUAUCUUCUUGACAGAUAACCAAAAGAACAAAAAAACUCUUUUCUUCGUGCACCGUAUCAGGUAGACUGGACUAACGUGCUCUUCAUUCAAUAACAGCAGAACAAUAUAUUACUCUUGGAAUUUCAUCAGAUUCAAAUUUGGUGAUAGAAAAUUGUUCUGCUUCAAUUAGCUGAAGCUCAAAUUUUAUUUUUUUGAAGUCUCAUCAUCUAUGGAUACUUUAUAAAUAUUAAAAAAAAAAUCACAAGAUUCGUGCACCCACCGCCCCAAUUUAAAUUCUCAAUUUUCGCUAUGAUGACGCCCAUGUCCUCAUUGAAGAUAGCAAGCUGUCUUGCUUUUGCUUGUAGGAAACAUGUGGUGUGCUGUUGAUGCACGUUUCCACCUAAAAUCGAAUUCUCACUCUCCUUUAUUAAGGCAGCUGGAUUAAGAUCAAAUAAGAUGCAUGGGCUGGGGCGGUGGUGCACAUCAUGGGCUCUAAUUUCUUCAUAUAAAAG